CUCUCUCUCUUUUGUAUAUACGAGUAUGUUUAUUAUUUCUCUUCUCAACAAAAACAAGUUUCUAAUAAUUCGUCAGAUUUAAUAUAAGCAUCAAUAUUUAUUCCUCGUUUUCUCAAGGGUUAAUCACUCGAUCGUAAAACCUAUGCAUUAAUCCACGUGGUACGAAUCCUGCUUGGAGUCAGAAGACGAAGACUCGGAUAAUGACGUCACACACCACGUGUGUCUUUUUCGUCAACGAAUGUUUCUGACCACACGCGAUGAGUUUCUCGAUUAGUUCAUACAGUGUGGUCGUAGUUAUGCUGUCCCUUUGACUAUGCCGAACGACAUGCGGUCGUAUUUUCUUUGGUUAAUUUUGGUGCAUUAUAUUAUCGCUAAUCCAGUCAAAGCACAACUAAGACGAGCAACUAGUAACUAUGCCACCGGAUGUUGUUCCUGUCCGUUCGAGGAUACGCAAUACAUGAAUCGUGUCUGUAGUGGUACUAGCGCUUUUAUGACGCUGGUUCAACAUGUAAUAUCCGCUAGAUGCGAUAUCGCUGAUCCUUGUCGACGUUUGGGCAGCGACAAAGCACCGAGUGAAAAUGAAUGGUUCGACUUUAUAAUUGUCGGCGCAGGUGUGGCUGGACCAAUAAUUGCGAGAAGAUUAAGCGACAAUCCAUGGCGAAAGAUAUUGCUCAUUGAAGCUGGUCCGGAAGAACCCAGUAUGACAGCUAUACCAGGAUUUGCGUUCAAUGCCAUUAAUACGUCCCUUGAUUGGAACUUCAAGACGGAACCAACAUUAUCGCAACCUACCGCCUGUUUAGAAACGGGCGGUGUUUGUACUUGGCCAAGAGGCAAAAUGGUCGCCGGUACUGGCGGUUUGCACGGUAUGAUGUACAUCCGAGGGCAUCCUGAACUUUACAAUCGUUGGGCGCGAGAAGGUAACGUGGGUUGGUCCUAUGACGAAAUCAGUCAUUAUUUUGAACGAGUAGAGAAUCCAAUUGACCCAACAAUCUUGUCAGAUAAACCUAGAAGCCUAAAGGACGGUGGACUGAUGAAUAUUCAAUAUUAUUCCCACAAGCCGGAUUUUGUGAAUGUAUUGUUGACAGCCGCAAGCCAACUAGGUUAUAAAACUUCUCGAUUAAAGGAGUAUAGUCAAACCGGCUUCAUGAUCGCACCAAUGACAACCGAGAACGGUAUGCGUCUCACAACUUCGAGAGCAUAUCUGAGACCUGUUCAUAACCGCAAGAAUCUACAAGUACUUACGAACGCUCAGGUCACCAAGAUCUUGAUUAGUCCAUGGGAACAAAAAGCUUACGGCGUGGAACUGGUAGAUAAAGACGGUUACAAAAGAGUAGUGAAAUGCGAUAAGGAAGUGAUCUUGACGGCUGGUGCUAUCGGCUCGCCGCAUAUCCUCAUGAAUUCUGGCGUGGGACCUGAGAAAGAUCUCACAAAGUUUGGUAUUAAAGUGUACAAGGACUUACCGGUCGGCAAAAAUCUGCACAAUCAUGUGUCUGUGGGUGUACCUAUGAGCAUUAAGGAUACCCCAUACGAGGUCGUAACCAUGGAGGCCGUAAACGAAUAUCUGGAGAAGAAGACGGGUCCAUUGGCUAGCACCGGUAUCACUCAAGUCACCGCUUUCCUCGAGAGUAGCUACGCGGUCAACGGCAUACCGGAUAUUCAAGUUUUCUUCGACGGUUUUAGUUCCAUUUGCCCAAAAACUGGUUUACUUAGUGAGUGUAUCAAUGGUAAAAUUCAAUCCGAAUGUCCGGAUAGAAGAGAGAUCGUGGCAAGACCUACGGUGGUUUACGUGGAAAGUCGAGGCGACUUAAAACUCCGUUCAAAUAAUCCUUUGGAUCCACCAUUGAUAUAUCCAAAUUACUUCACAAACGAAAAGGAUCUAAUAAUUCUGCUCGAAGGUGUCAAAAAAAUUAGCAAGCUUGUUGACACGCCCGCUAUGAAGAAGUGGGAUCUUCGCUUGGAACAAGUGAGAAGUCCAUUGUGUAGCGACUACCAUUUUGGCACAGACGCUUUCUGGAUGUGUCAAAUAAGGGCGGAAACUGGACCGGAAAAUCAUCAAUCUGGAACAUGCAAAUUGGGACCGAGUACCGAUCCAAGUGCAGUUGUAGAUUCAGACCUUCGAGUACAUGGUAUACCGAAUAUUCGUGUCGCAGAUGCUUCCAUCUUUCCUAUUGUACCAAAUUCAAAUCCUAUCGCCGGGAUCAUGAUGGUAGCUGAAAAGGCAGCUGAUAUGAUUAACAAUGCUUGGCCAUAAAAACUUUAAAUGUACAACUUUUGAUAUAUUGUAUAGUAAUAAAAAUGACGUGUAUACGAGUUGUACGCAUACAUAUUCAGAGGAAAAAGAUGUAACAACAUUGGCUUUAUAGAAAAUAAUCAAAAUAAUAGAAAGAAAUAAAGAAAUACUUUGAAACAACAGAUGUGCCUAUUUAACAGCAUCAAACUGAUAGUCAUAUGCUUGUGCAUGAGAACUAGGAACAAUAUGUAAUUUAAAACAGUGUUAAGAAAGAAAUGAUAAACAUGAAGAGAAAGAGCUGAUGAUUUCGAGGAAAUAGAAAUAAUCUUAUUAGUUUGUUACAUAACAGUAU